AUAAACGCAAUGAAUGGGAGUAGUAAAAGUUUUUUCGUAGAUUCAGAGAGCUGCGGGUUGGUGCAACGCAGUCUAUAAACACUUUGAACUCGCCCAGGAGCAGCAAGAUGGAACGGAGUGGAAGUUCCCUAUAUUUUGACGAAUAACCUACGUUAUAAGGUAUACGAGCAGGAUUCGAAAAGAAUCAACAAGAGUGGUACCGCGGUUUGCCUAAGAAGCUUAUCGUCUCUUUU
rnacentral:ncRNA from 1 species